rnacentral:tRNA from 1 species
UGCCCUUGUGGCUCAGUGGUAGAGCACUCCCUUGGUAAGGGAGAGGUCACGUGUUCAAUUCACGUCAAGGGCAU